rnacentral:rRNA from 1 species
GACGAACGCUGGCGGCGUGCUUAACACAUGCAAGUCGAACGGAAAGGCCUUUUCGGAGGUACUCGAGUGGCGAACGGGUGAGUAACACGUGGGUGAUCUGCCCUGCACUCUGGGAUAAGCCUGGGAAACUGGGUCUAAUACCGGAUAGGACCGCACUUUAGUGUGUGUGGUGGAAAGUUUUUUCGGUGUAGGAUGAGCCCGCGGCCUAUCAGCUUGUUGGUGGGGUAAUGGCCUACCAAGGCGGCGACGGGUAGCCGGACUGAGAGGUUGGUCGGCCACAUUGGGACUAAGAUACGGCCCAGACUCCGACGGGAGGCAGCAGUGGGGAAUAUUGCACAAUGGGCGCAAGCCUGAUGCAGCGACGCCGCGUGGGGGAUGACGGCCUUCGGGUUGUAAACUCCUUCCGCCAGGGACGAAGCGUUUUGUGACGGUACCUGGAGAAGAAGCACCGGCUAACUACGUG